rnacentral:tRNA from 1 species
GUCUGGGUGGCUCAGUUGGUUGAGCAUGUGACUUCAGCUCAGGUCAUGAUCUCACAGUUUGUGGGUUCAAGCCCCACGUCGGGCU